CGAAGCUAGUAACAUGCCACCAAGAAUGGCGACACCAUCAAUAAUGGCACUACUCUGAACGAUGUCGAGGACCACAACAUGAUACAUCUCGGCAUACUAAGGAGAUAUUAAGAAAGUAUAGUCAAGAUUCUCUAGAAGCAUUUCCUUCUUGUAUUUCUUCUCGACCACCUGAGAUGUCGGCAUCACCACCCCGAGGUGCUGUUCGUCCAGAGGAAGGAGAAGAGGCAUACGGAAACGCCGCCGGCUGGUCCGGUGACACCAACCAAGCCACGGGUGGCCCAGACACUCCGGCAGUAUGAAUGAGUACUUGACCACCAUGUAAUCUAUCCAUGUUCCCUCUUUCCUACUUCCCCUCGAUCUGGUCCUCAUUUGCCAUGUUCUUCAGCUACAGAAAUCACUAAUUCUCCAUGUUAUUGAGCCCAUCUGAAGUCUAGUGCUUAGAGAUCUUGUGCUCUACAUUACCUGAUAUUUCAUUUGAUUGAGAGUAGUGGACAAAAGCAUGGUUUAGUCAUUGAGUUGACUAAAAUCA